rnacentral:rRNA from 1 species
AGUGAACGCUGGCGGCAGGCCUAAUACAUGCAAGUCGAACGGCAGCACAGCAGAGCUUGCUCUGUGGGUGGCGAGUGGCGGACGGGUGAGGAAUACAUGGGAAUCUGCCCAGUCGUGGGGGAUAACGUAGGGAAACUUACGCUAAUACCGCAUGCGCCCUUCGGGGGAAAGCCGGGGACCUUCGGGCCUGGCGCGAUUGGAUGAGCCCAUGUCGGAUUAGCUAGUUGGCGGGGUAAUGGCCCACCAAGGCGACGAUCCGUAGCUGGUCUGAGAGGAUGAUCAGCCACACUGGAACUGAGACACGGUCCAGACUCCUACGGGAGGCAGCAGUAGGGAAUAUUGGACAAUGGGCGCAAGCCUGAUCCAGCCAUGCCGCGUGAGUGAAGAAGGCCCUCGGGUUGUAAAGCUCUUUUGUCCGGAAAGAAAAGCGCCGGGUUAAUACCCUAGUGUCCUGACGGUACCGGAAGAAUAAGCACCGGCUAACCUUCGUG